rnacentral:rRNA from 1 species
GACGAACGCUGGCGGCGUGCUUAACACAUGCAAGUCGAACGGAAAGGCCCUGCUUUUGUGGGGUGCUCGAGUGGCGAACGGGUGAGUAACACGUGAGUAACCUGCCCUUUACUUUUGGAUAACUUCAGGAAACUGGGGCUAAUACCGGAUAGGAGCUCCUGCUGCAUGGUGGGGGUUGGAAAGUUUCGGCGGUUGGGGAUGGACUCGCGGCUUAUCAGCUUGUUGGUGGGGUAGUGGCUUACCAAGGCUUUGACGGGUAGCCGGCCUGAGAGGGUGACCGGCAACAUUGGGACUGAGAUACGGCCCAGACUCCUACGGGAGGCAGCAGUGGGGAAUAUUGCACAAUGGGCGGAAGCCUGAUGCAGCAACGCCGCGUGCGGGAUGACGGCCUUCGGGUUGGAAACCGCUUUCGCCUGUGACGAAGCGUGAGUGACGGUAAUGGGUAAAGAAGCACCGGCUAACUACGUG